rnacentral:ncRNA from 1 species
UUAAAGACUGUGAAAGGAAGAGUAAAUAUAGUAAUGUAGUCCCAGCGAGUUGGUGGUAGUGAGAGUCCAAUACGAAGUCUAUAUUGAAGAACAUCCUGGAGUUACUAACCGAAAUUUAUUAAAGUAGGCUUAGUCGGAACCAAACCGUUAUCAAAUUGGAAUGCACUGAGAGUAAAUCUCGCUGCGUUAUAAGUGGAGCUUAUUUUUUAAGCUAACCAGGGUGGCACCGCGGAAGUUAAACCUUUCGUCCCUAUA